rnacentral:miRNA from 1 species
AUUGGCAUCACCUGGGAGCUUGUUAGAAAAGCAGAGUCUCUAUCUAGUCUUCCUCCUCCUACCCCAGACCUACUGAAAUCAGAAUCUAAAGUUUAACAAGGUUCCCAGGUGAUUCAUAU